rnacentral:rRNA from 1 species
AACUGAAACAUCUAAGUACCCCGAGGAAAAGAAAUCAACCGAGAUUCCCCCAGUAGCGGCGAGCGAACGGGGAGCAGCCCAGAGCCUGAAUCAGUAUGUGUGUUAGUGGAAGCGUCUGGAAAGGCGCGCGAUACAGGGUGACAGCCCCGUACACAAAAAUGCACAUAUUGUGAGCUCGAUGAGUAGGGCGGGACACGUGGUAUCCUGUCUGAAUAUGGGGGGACCAUCCUCCAAGGCUAAAUACUCCUGACUGACCGAUAGUGAACCAGUACCGUGAGGGAAAGGCGAAAAGAACCCCGGCGAGGGGAGUGAAAAAGAACCUGAAACCGUGUACGUACAAGCAGUGGGAGCACGCUUAGGCGUGUGACUGCGUACCUUUUGUAUAAUGGGUCAGCGACUUAUAUUCUGUAGCAAGGUUAACCGAAUAGGGGAGCCGAAGGGAAACCGAGUCUUAACUGGGCGUUAAGUUGCAGGGUAUAGACCCGAAACCCGGUGAUCUAGCCAUGGGCAGGUUGAAGGUUGGGUAACACUAACUGGAGGACCGAACCGACUAAUGUUGAAAAAUUAGCGGAUGACUUGUGGCUGGGGG